AGGACGAACGCUGGCGGCGUGCUUAACACAUGCAAGUCGAGCGGAGAAUAUAGCAAUAUAUUCUUAGCGGCGGACGGGUGAGUAACGCGUGGGUAACCUGCCUUUUACAGGGGGAUAACACUGGGAAACUAGUGCUAAUACCGCAUAAAAUAGUGAAGUGGCAUCACUUUACUAUCAAAGGAGCAAUCCGGUAAAAGAUGGACCCGCGUCCGAUUAGCUAGUUGGAGGGUAACGGCCCACCAAGGCGACGAUCGGUAGCCGAACUGAGAGGUUGAUCGGCCACAUUGGGACUGAGACACGGCCCAGACUCCUACGGGAGGCAGCAGUGGGGAAUAUUGCGCUAAAAGUGGGGGAAACCCUGACGCAGCAACGCCGCGUGAAGGAUGAAGGUUUUCGGAUUGUAAACUUCUUUGAUUGGGGACGAUAAUGACGGUACCCAAAAAACAAGCCACGGCUAACUACGUGCCAGCAGCCGC
rnacentral:rRNA from 1 species